rnacentral:rRNA from 1 species
CUACGGGUUGCUCCAGUGAGGAAUAGUGCACAAUGGGGGGAACCCUGAUCUAGCCAUGCCGCGUGAGUGAUGAAGGCCUUAGGGUUGUAAAGCUCUUUCAGCUGGGAAGAUAAUGACGGUACCAGCAGAAGAAGCCCCGGCUAACUCCGUGCCAGGCAGCCGCGGUAAUACGGAGGGGGCUAGCGUUGUUCGGAAUUACUGGGCGUAAAGCGCACGUAGGCGGACUGGAAAGUCAGAGGUGAAAUCCCAGGGCUCAACCUUGGAACUGCCUUUGAAACUAUCAGUCUGGAGUUCGAGAGAGGGGAGUGGAAUUCCGGGUGUAGAGGUGAAAUUCGUAGAUAUUCGGAGGAACACCAGUGGCGAAGGCGGCUCACUGGCCCGAUACUGACGCUGAGGUGCGAAAGCGUGGGGAGCAAACAGGAUUAGAUACCCCAGUAGUC